GCAAGGAGGCCAGACAAAGCUGAAUGGUGAGAACUUUUCUGGUGCUGGGACUGAGGCCUCUUUAUCAAGCCAUUGCAUCCAGAUAAAGUGUCAUGACCUGUGGAUCUUGAACCUGGGUCCUUAGGGUCAUCAUGCACCAACCCUCCACCUGACGGGCAUCAGUUAGAACUGGCACUCUUUGUAGCCCAGCUCAGAGACAAGGCUUCCACCCCUAGGUCCUGACUGGUGGAACACCAGAGCUCCUGAUUGGCCGGUCCCUCUACUUAAGCCAGAAGGAGGAACAGGAAGUUGUCUAUACAACUUAGCUCCACCUGCUUCAGACUGUUCACCCAGCACUACCUUCACCUGAUCCUGACCUCCUGGUAUAUGAUUUGUGGUUCCUGAUCUCAGCUCCUGAUCUCCUAUGCUAACCAGUAGGUCUGGCCACCUAUGUCCUUGCCCUGACACAAAGUGGUUUGUGAUGGCUUUGAAGAAAUGCUGUAGCUGCUUUUCCAGAGAAGUUUUCCACAAAAGAUACCUCAGCUAUUUCAUCAUUACUCUAGGAUGAGGCAAAUAUUAAUGGCACGAAAGGUGUUGCAGCAGUCACAGAUGACUCAGUAUGGACUGUAUCCUUAGCUGUCUCAUUGUAGGAACAAAGGCAGACAAGCUAUAUGUUCCUGUGUGAACAUCCAUACUCCCCAUGAUACAUCUGGGGCAGGACAAUGUUAUAAUCCUGCUUGACUAUUUCUAACAGCUGCUCAGUUUUCUAUUAGCUUUUACAAAUAAAAGCAAGGGUAAACUAAGGAAGCUCAGAAGCAACUGGGGCUCGUUAGCAUUCCAGAAACUCAACAGGGAACAUUUGCAAAGGAAAUGCAGAUUUAUGGAGUCCAGACUAGAUCAUAAAGGACUUCUGGCCUUAGAAUCUACAAAUCCAGUGCUGACCACUGCCAGAGACAAGAUAGUGAAUGAAAUGGACUAGGUGCCUGAUCCAGUAUCGUUCUUCCUGUGUGCACAAGCUACAGAUUUCCAGAAAGUGUUCAUCCUCUGCCUCUGGAGGUGAAGCAGUAAUUUGUACCAGAGUCCAUACCUCAAGAAAGACCAAUUCCAGAAUGCUUGUUUUCCUCUCCCUCUGAUAAUGAACAAGAGGAUACCUAACAUUUAGUUAACCCUAAGCAUAAUUCUUCUCCAACUGAAAUCAAUUUUUAAACUUUUGUUGAUUUUAGUGGGAGCAGAAUAAGGCCAGCACUGAAAUCUUUGAAAAAAACCAAAAACCUAUCGCCCUACACUGAAUCCAAAUAUAGAUCAAAUUUCCCCAAAAUUCCAGGAUGUUCAGAAUUGAUGUUUUGGUUAAGACUCCCCCUACCCUAUAUCCUAUUUCUUGAUAGUAAAUAAGCCCUUUAUGCGCUUUGCUAGGAAGAGCCUGGCUGUUCAUUGCAGAAUAUUUACAGAAGGCUCCUGAUCCAUCUUCUCUUCAGAAGAUGAUGGAAUUAGGAGCUGCUUUAAUGGCUAAAAGGUUAAUUCUUCAAAAGGGGAAAGCCUCUUUGCUUCCAAACAUAGAAUUUGUUGUGUCAAUUUCAGUGAUUAACUGCUUUGGAAGUGAUCUCCUUUAAAUGAAAAAAAAGAAUUGAGUUCUUUCAUAUCUGGCCUCUUUAUCCUGACUCCCAGAAUUAACUUGCAGAUUCUCCGAAGUAUAUAAACAUUCAAAUAUAUUA